CCAUUAUCAAGAGCGGUGGAGGGACUGGCCCUAUGAAGCCCGGCAACAGCUAGUUGGAAAACUAGAAAUGUGCUAAAUCCUGCAGGAAGAAAUUCCUGAGAGAUAAGAG
rnacentral:ncRNA from 2 species